ACACAGAGGGUGCGAGCGUUAAUCGGAAUUACUGGGCGUAAAGCGCGCGUAGGCGGCUUGGUCAGUCGGAUGUGAAAGCCCCGGGCUCAACCUGGGAAUGGCAUUCGAUACUGCCAAGCUAGAGUAUGGGAGAGGGAAGUGGAAUUUCCGGUGUAGCGGUGAAAUGCGUAGAUAUCGGAAGGAACACCAGUGGCGAAGGCGACUUCCUGGCCCAAUACUGACGCUGAGGUGCGAAAGCGUGGGGAGCGAACAGGAUUAGAUACCCUAGUAGUCC
rnacentral:rRNA from 1 species